rnacentral:misc_RNA from 1 species
GAAUGACCCGUGCACUUGCGGUUGCGCCAUAUCAUACUGUCUAAAACUUGCAAAAAUUCCGUUAACAUUUUUUCUUAUCAAGUGAAAAGUUAAACACAGUAGCAAUGCAUCUUGGUCUUAUUCAUCUGUUAACUAUCACAAGUCAUAAUCUUUAUAUUAUUGUCAUAUCAUGGGAGACUAAAUGGAUAAGAUGUAUGAGAAAAGGAAGCAAAGAAAUGGUUGACUAAUCUUGAUGCCCUUGUUUCAGUCCCUGUGUUUGUCUAAAUUUCUCCCAAAGUCCCAAUGUACACUGGCUUCAUUUUCCAAUUCUGACGUUUAGGUUAUUAGUCUUAUUCAAGGCUUGGUUCAAAGUUCAUUCUGAGCUCCCUCCAGCAUCAUAACUUUUGUUCAUUUGAACUUUUCCUUCUCUGCAUUGUUUUCUCAGCUCUAUAAAGGAAGAUUAGAAA